UACGUAGGGUGCGAGCGUUAAUCGGAAUUACUGGGCGUAAAGCGUGCGCAGGCGGCUUUGCAAGACAGAUGUGAAAUCCCCGGGCUCAACCUGGGAACUGCAUUUGUGACUGCAAGGCUAGAGUACGGCAGAGGGGGAUGGUAUUCCGCGUGUAGCAGUGAAAUGCGUAGAUAUGCGGAGGAACACCAAUGGCGAAGGCAAUCCCCUGGGCCUGUACUGACGCUCAUGCACGAAAGCGUGGGGAGCAAACAGG
rnacentral:rRNA from 1 species